rnacentral:rRNA from 1 species
AUUGAACGCUGGCGGCAGGCUUAACACAUGCAAGUCGAGCGAGCGGCGGACGGGUGAGUAAUGUAUGGGAAACUGCCUGAUGGAGGGGGAUAACUACUGGAAACGAUAGCUAAUACAGAAUACCAACAGAUGUGCCCAGAUGGGAUUAGCUAGUAGGUGGGGUAAUGGCUCACCUAGGCGACGAUCCCUAGCUGGUCUGAGAGGAUGAACAGCCACACUGGAACUGAGACACGGUCCCUACUCCGACGGGAGGCAGCAGUGGGGUAGAUUGCACAAAGGGAGCAAGCCUGAUGCAGCCAUGCCGCGUGUGUGAAGAAGGCCUUCGAGUUUUAAAGCACUUUCAGCGAGGAGGCGUUACUCGCAGAAGAAGCACCGGCUAACUCCGUGCCAGCCGCCGCGGUAAUUC